CUACUUACCUGGCAGGGGAGAUGCCAUGAUCAUGAAGGUGGUUCACCCAGGGCGAGGCUCGGCCAUCGCACUCCGGCUGUGCUGACCCCUGCGAAUUCCCCAAAUGCAGGAAUCUCGACUGCAUAAUUUUCUGGUAGUGGGGGGGAUUGCGUUCGCGCUCUCCCUUG